rnacentral:rRNA from 1 species
UACGUAGGGUGCAAGCGUUAAUCGGAAUUACUGGGCGUAAAGCGUGCGCAGGCGGUUAUGCAAGACAGGUGUGAAAUCCCCGGGCUCAACCUGGGAACUGCAUUUGUGACUGCAUGGCUAGAGUACGGUAGAGGGGGAUGGAAUUCCGCGUGUAGCAGUGAAGUGCGUAGAUAUGCGGAGGAACACCGAUGGCGAAGGCAAUCCCCUGGACCUGUACUGACGCUCAUGCACGAAAGCGUGGGGAGCAAACAGG